rnacentral:rRNA from 1 species
CCUACGGGUGGCAGCAGUGGGGAAUAUUGCACAAUGGGGGAAACCCUGAUGCAGCGACGCCGCGUGAGUGAAGGAGCAUUUCGGUAUGUAAAGCUCUAUCAGCAGGGAAGAAAAUGACGGUACCUGACUAAGAAGCCCCGGCUAACUACGUGCCAGCAGCCGCGGUAAUACGUAGGGGGCAAGCGUUAUCCGGAUUUACUGGGUGUAAAGGGAGCGUAGACGGCAGCACAAGUCUGGAGUGAAAUGCCGGGGCUUAACCCCGGAACUGCCUUGGAAACUGCGCAGCUAGAGUGCCGGAGAGGUAAGUGGAAUGCCUAGUGUAGCGGUGAAAUGCAUAGAUAUUAGGAGGAACACCAGUGGCGAAGGCGGCUUACUGGACUGCAACUGACGUUGAGGUUCGAAAGCGUGGGGAGCGAACAGGAUUAGAUACCCGAGUAGUC